UACGGGGGGGGGCAAGCGUUGUUCGGAAUUACUGGGCGUAAAGGGUUCGUAGGUGGCUCGCUAAGCCAGACGUGAAAUCCCUCAGCUUAACUGGGGAACUGCGUCUGAUACUGGAUGGCUUGAGUUUGGGAGAGGGAUGCGGAAUUCCAGGUGUAGCGGUGAAAUGCGUAGAUAUCUGGAGGAACACCGGUGGCGAAGGCGGCAUCCUGGACCAACACUGACACUGAGGAGCGAAAGCCAGGGGAGCAAACGGG
rnacentral:rRNA from 1 species